ACGAAUCAAUGGAUGGAUGGAUGAAUCAAUGGAUGGAUGGAUGUCUGACUCUGGAAACAAUGACAUUGAACAUUACAUGUGCCACCUCCAUGAUCCCUUCCCAUUCCGACUAUUUUUGGUUCUGGCAUGUUCUAUCCACAGCCAUCAUUGCUAUUUCACUGCUGAUAGAAAGUUGAGGAGUUUGAAGGACUGUCAUGGGAGAGAGAGAUAUAGAAGUGAAUACAGGUCUAACAAAGAGGAACUCGGGACACAUUUGUCAUCUCAGUGGAAUUGGAACCCCUUCUCUGCCACACUAUAAAAGCCUAGAGUAAGUCCCCUUAGAAGUAAUCUCACACAAGGUUUUGUAGGAGAACUCAAGUAUGGAUGAGAAGAUCUCUAGCACCUCUUAUUUUAGAUUCAGUGAUUUAAUCAAACACAUUACCUGCAUGACAGUACUUAUGAAGACAUCACUUCUAUAUUCUAGGUGGGAAUGUUACAGACCGAGGAAGAACACCCUGCCAGCCAAAUCUACUGUGGUUCCUCCCCUCUCCCACUCACUGUUUGCCAAGACAGGACACUAUUAAUGAGGCCCAGAGUCAGUUAAGCUGUUUGCCAAAUACCAAUGCCAUUGUUAUGUGUAUAAAUUUCUCUUGACUACUGUGGAGUUCUUGCAAGAUUAACUCACCUGAGUCUUAGCCUAUUUCACCCACCAGUCACUACAGAAAUAAAAGCCACCGACCUAACCCAGUCAUGAGUAAUUCUAUUCCUUAAUAAUGGAGUUGAGCACUUUUUGGAUGGGCAGCUGCUAGCGCCUGGUAGACAUGGCAGACCGUAACUCUGCUGUAGUCCUCUGUUGUUUGGGGGGUACGAGAUCUCAAGUUGGCCAAGGCUGGCCUCUUAGUGCAGUGACACUGCUUGGAGCAAAGUCAUCGACCUUUUCCGAGGCUUCCUAUGAGGACCUGGCCUAGGACCCAGCUGUUUAGGGCUGGUUGCUUGACAAUGGGUGUUUUUGCUGAGGCUUCUCAUCCAGAAACAUUGGGCAUCCCUCUGGGACCCCAUCUACCAGGCUGCCUCCUGUGCCACCACAGCUGUACCCUCUGUACUCAGAAAUGGCUUUUCCUCUUAACCACAUUUGCAUGUGUCAAAUCCAUUCCUCAUCUUCCAAGCAUUGGUUUAAGUGCAUCCAUUUAUGAAACCAUUCCCAGCUGUCCUGAGCAGGGUUAGCCAACCUCUGCACACGCCACGACAAAAGCCAGCGUGGUCCUGUGAUUGUGAGCAACCUUUCCUCCCUCCUGGUAGGUCAGGCAUGCUCUGGACAGGUUCUCCAGGGCCACUGAGACCUGAAGUGUGCAUUCAGCAACUCUUUGUUUAGAUAACGGGUAGGAAAUUCAGUUGCUGCUCCUGCUACCUGUAUCACUGGGCUGUUUUGUCAGCCAGAAUGUGUACUGUGCCCUUCACCUAUCAAAACCCUCCUUGCACCAGAUCUAGAUUCAGUCUCCUCUCCUCUGCAGUCUUUUGUGACCUCUGAGUUGCUUCGGAUUUCUGCCAUUUAUUUAACAUUUAGCAUUACUAGCUUCUUCCUGUUAGCUAUCUUUGCAUGUAAGAAUGUCUUCAAACCCAAGGAGACAUUGAUGGUCUUGUGUCAUUUAAUCACGAGCCUACAUUCUGAGAAAUACCUUGUCGGGUGACUUUGUCAUUGUGCACACAUUGUAAAGUGUGUUUACACAAACUGAGAUGGCCAGGUGUCGGUAGGUGAUAUGACCACCAUUGUGCAUGUAGCUCGUCACCAACUGAACCAUCGUAGGUGUCACCCUUCUUCCUGUUGCCUUGGGACUCUCCUUUCUCUCAUAGCACCACCGUGUCAUGCACAGGACAGCCAGGCUAUGCAUAUUCAUAUAUUGAUCAAGCAAUUUGUAUACCUGUUUGUAUCUCCUGCAGUGCCUACCUCAGCACAGAAUAAAUAAUUGCUGAUCAGUUGGCUGCCAGGAAUAGAUGAUUGUUGAUCAGUUGACCAGUUGGGAAUGUAAUACUUCACCUGCCACACUUCUUCUACUCCCUGACCUCCCUCGUGCACCAAAGUAUCAACAGACUGGGGAGCUGCCUUGGAACACAGUUAAAGUUAGCUCUGUUGACUUUGGCUCUGCGACUCGCGGCCAGAGAGAAAAAUAAAAUCUCUUCCAAAUUUUCCACACAAUUGAAAAGCACAGAACUUUGAAAAUCUGUGCAAAAUGAAACAUUACUUCAAGUUUGUUAGAAAUGGAAGAGAAUCAUUUGGAAGGCAGUGGAACAGUUGAAAACAAUUUGUUGAAUUUAACCAAACCCUACCAUUGCACUAUGGGGAGGGGGUAAAAAUCAUUUCUAUGAAGCCCAGGGCACCUGAGUUGCUCAGUCAGUGGAACCAUGGAUGGAUACCAAACACGUGACACCACUGCCAUUAUCCUGCCCGUGCACAUCACGAUCUGGUCUUUGCUUUGUCUUUGUCUUUUUUUUUUUUUUUUUUAACAUAAUGUGAGUUCCUAAUCUCUAUUCCAUUAAGAGUCAACUAGAUUACUUGGGUGAACCCUCCCUCUUGUUAUUGUGUGUGACAAAAUACAGAUACCAUACAAAAUUGCCAUGCAGCCCUUGUUAAGCAUAUAGAUCAGUGGCAUUGAGUGAGUUGCACUGUUGUCCAGCCAUCACCACCGUCCAUGUCCAGAACAUUCCUAUCUCCUCAGAUCAAAACUGUGAUCCCUCUGAGCAGUGGACUCCCCAUCCCUCUUCCCCAGCCCCUGCCCCGAUCCUUGGCAUUCCCUGUUCUACUUCCUGUCCCUGUGAGAUUGACAGCUUCCAAGUACAGCAGAAGAGUGGACUCAUGCAGUGUUUGUCCUUCUGUCUGCUUGGUUUCAUUGAGCACAGUGUCCUCAAGUUUCCUCCACAGUGCUGCAUGUGCUAUAAUAAAUGACUCAUCUCUAGAGACCUAGAGAGUUGAAGAUCAUCGUCCGUGGCCACUUGGCUUUUUUGUAUGUAUGGAGACCAUAAAUAAUUAUGCGCCAGCUAUUAACUAUAAGCCCUGUACAUUGCAUUAUAAUUUUAUAUAAUUUUUUCAUUCGAUCUUUUCCAAAGUCCUAUGCUUUUAUUAUCAUAGAAGGGGCACCUGGAUCAGAGACUAAGAACUAAGCAAACUAAGAACUGACUCCUGAUCUUGUAGCUGAGGUGUGGUACUCGGGCAAACUGUGAGUGACUCUGUCAGAAGAUUUCCCCACUGCAGUUAUUUUUAUGCACACACAUAGAAAGACCGAGGACGUGGCCCGCCCUGUGGGGAAUAGGACAGAAACUCCCUCCACUUGUAGAGCUUGGGAGAGAGGUACACACAGAGGACCAGAAGUUCCAGGGAGUGGAUGGGGGUGAAACCUAGAGGACUGGCCAGCAUUUGAAGUCAGAAAGUACGUCUCACCCACAGAGUGUGUGUCUCUGAGGAGCUCUCGGGCAGUAAGGACCUGGGCUGCGCCGGCAGGGGUCCAGCUGCUGUGUCUCUCCACCCUGGCCCUGCCUCCGCCCAGGCCUGACUGGAGUUGUCUUUCCCAAGGCGGUGACUGUCAGAGGAGCCAUCUGGCCUGGUUUCUUGUGGCUGACUCCAAGGAACAGACAUCCCUCUGGGAGGAAAUUUCAGCAGUGAGAAGCAACUGUGAGGCUCGCUGUCCGUGAGCCAGAGAAGACGUGCUCAGCAUGGCCCCUGGGAGAGCAGGCUGGAGACAGAACAUUCUGAGCAGAAGAUGAGAACCUUGCAGCUGUGGUGCUGGGUGUGGAUGGGGUGGGAAGGAAGGAAGUUGAGCCAGGCGCGUGCAGUGUCUGCUGAACCCCUUGAGGUCCGCUGGCUGCAGGGUGACCCUCUCAGUGCCGCACCCCACACCCCUGCUGAAGCAUCUGGCUUCUUUUGUGACUCACUCCAAGGCAGCACCUUGGCCUCUGUCCUGGAACCCCUCCCCGCUUCCUCCCAGGCAGCCUCACCUGUGGCCUCUGAGCUCAUUCUUGGGGUGCUGGACCAGAAGGAGCCACAGAGCCCAUGUGGUCCAGUCUCUCACUGCAAAGGAAGAUGAGGCCAGGCAGGAUGGCACCCAGACUCAGCCUGAUAUCACCAGGGCAUGGGCCAGACCCCGGGCCCCUGUGCCCACACCUACCUUUCCUAAUGUGAAUCCACCAUGCUGUCUUUCUCCAAAAAUCCCUCGGCCAAGUGUGUACGACCUUCUGUCUCACCAGCAUUCACUUGGGGUUUUCUGAUUAACAACCAUUCUAACAGGGGUGAGCUAGAACCACAUUGUAGUUUUGAUUUGCAUUCCCAGGUAGCUAAUGAUUCUGAGCAUUUUUGAAUGUUAACCCAAAGGAAAAAUAAAAUAAUUAAGGAAAGAAGAAAAUCCCAGAGCAGUUCCCUAGGAAAAGUGAUCAAGAGUUAUCAGAUUCUAAGUGUUAUUGUCCAAAUUUCAUCUUCUGCUCUUCCCUUUUGGCUUUUUUAAAAUUGGGAAUGUAAAGAGGGAGAUGAUAAUUUAGUUUCCAGGUUGCUUAUUUAAAUCGUGCCUGACUCUGAGCGAUAAUUCCUGACUUUCCCUGGCUUUUGCAGCAGAAGCUAACAGUUCAUGCUCUGCAGGAAGGAAGCUGUAGUUAUGCGUGGACCAAGGGUACUGUCCAAAUCUAUAAAGGGCGGCCAAAAGAAAAACUAAAAAUAAAACAGAGGUGAGCAUUGGGGACGUAGCUGAGCACAAAGGCCCUGGGUUCAGUUUCCAGUAGCACAAAAAUUAAUUAACUAAUAAAUUAAAAGAAGGAGGAAAAAGCACAAAAUGGCAACCCCGCCACCCACAAAGUUUUAUUCUUCUCCGAGAAGACUCAUGGGUAAAGAAGGCAGAUGGGCAAAGCAGUCAGUACCAUGGCCCCUUUUUAUGCACGGUUUCGCUUUUCCUGCUUUUAGUUAUUGUGAGGUCAACCACAGUCCAAAAGUAAAAAAUGGGAAAUUUCAGAAAUGAACAGUUCUCAGGUUUUAAAUGGUUCUAACUUGUGUGCUGAAAUCUUGAGUCACUCUCCUCUGUCUCGAGUAUCCACAGUGUGGGUGCUACCUAUCCGUUCAUCACCCAGCAGCCCUCUCAGUUAUCUGGUUGCCUCUGUGGUAAUGCAGUGCUUGUGUUCAGGUAAUGCUUAUUUUAUUUAAUAGUGGCACCAAAGCUCAAGAAUUUAAUUGCUGUUUGUUAUAAUUGUUCUGUUCAUUAUGGUUGAUCUUUUACUGUGCCUAAUUCAUAAAUCAAACUUCAUUGUAGGUAUAAACCAAUUGGGGAAAAUGUAGAAUCUGUAAGAUUUGCUACUGGCCACCAUCUCAGGCAUUGUCGGGGGGGGGGGGCGCUACUUGGAAUGUGACCUCCACAGAGAAGAGGGGAUGACUGUCUUGAGCACCUACUCAGGUACACCAGGUUCUACGUGAAUGCUUUCCCGACCUCCCUAAACACAAUCCUCACAAUCUACAGGAGCCCCAGGAAGACAGAUGAGAUCACUGAGGCACAAAAUGUUACAUGCUGUGCUCCAGGUCUCACCCCUAGCAAAGCCCAGAGUGGGAACCAGACCAGCACAGCAGGCUCUUCUCCACUCGGCCUCACCUUGUUAGCUCUGUGUUUCAAGGAGUGAUCACAGUGGUCACAGAGGCCCUCCACCCCCCACGUCUCUGGUCUGAGUCCCUGAACGGACCCCCCAAACCAGCCACGUGGGGUGUGCCACAGGGCUCCAGGCCACGUUCUGCCCGUGGCCAGCAGCACUGAGAGGGGAUGGAAGAGACUCAGGCUUGUCAUCCUGCAAACGGGACUCCCCCGGGCGGCACUGGCUCCCUGCUGAGUAAUCCCUGCACGGCAGGGGUGUCUGCAGCGAGCGACUCUGGUUGUGCGUGGUCUAUUCUGGGAGGUGUCAAGCACGCACCAUCCAAGAACAUGAAGUCGCUGUUCUGCCACAGAUGGGAAAGCAGGCUCUGUGGAGGCCGUGGGAGCCGGGUUUUGGCUGGAAGGAGGAGACAGGGUUUAUUUCCAGUUCAGAGCCCAUCUGGUUACCGGGGUGAGCCGAGCACUUGUGUAGUGCAAGCAUCUCCCUGCUAGCACUCAGACUCACCCGUGUCCCCCGGCCGGGUCCCGGGAGCUCAGGGUCUGGGUCCUCAAAGAAGGCCCCUCGCUGGUGCUGUGUCCGGGGGUUAGUGACAGCCUUCAUGUUUUGAAGAUUUGGCAGAUUUGAAGAUUUCAGUGUUGUGAACCAUGAUCAUCCCACUAUGCAGCAGGACACCUGGACUUGUUCCUCCCGUCUGACUAACUGCACUGGCGACCAGUUCGACCCACCAUCCCAGCCCCAGCCUCCGGCUACUUUUCCUCUAGGAGCUCGGCUUCUUUAGAAUCCAUAUACAGCAUAGGGCAUACGAUAUCUGUUUUCUGUGCCUGGCUUAUUUUCUUUAACAUAUGUUCUCCAUAUUCAUUCAUGUUGAACAAUGACAAUUUAUCUUUGUCAAGGCUGAGUAAUAUUCUAGUGUGCGUGUAAGAAGGUACAUUGCACUGCCUUUAUCUGUUCAUUCACGGAGGGCCACUCAAGUGACGGUAUGUGUGUCCUGGCUGUCGGGAAGAGUGAACAUGGGAAUGCAAGGGUCUUCACACCCAUGUCAUUUCCUUGGACGUCUACCCAAAAGCGGGACUGUUAGACCCCAUUUAAGCAGUAAUAACUCUGACCGUCUUUGUUGAUGCAUACCCAACUGUUGUUGGCCCCUGUGUGUGCUUGUCUUGGGUCUAAAGUUCCAGUCCAGGGGAAGGAAGCACCCGGGGCGCCUUCCCGGUUGGCUUUGCUAUCCCGGCAGCCAUGGCGGGGUGACCACCAUUGCCCAGGCUGGUGGUCCAUACUUGAGCCUAGAGGAAGCACUCAUUGCGGCCAUUCAGUGCAGCCAGGAUGACACGUGUGAGUGUGGCUGUCACCGUCCUCACCGGAGGACCCUCCCUUCACCUGCAGGAGGACCCCACUUUCUCCUGUGGCUACUGCAGUGCCUGAUACCAUGGUAGACACACAAUGCUAAGAUGAUGCCCACCACAAGCUCCCAAGUGCACAGUCAUUUGCUGAGAGCUGGUCUUGGGCGUCUCAAGGCGACACCCUGCGUGGUGUGGCUGACCUCAUGCCCACCCUCGGCCAGCCCUUGAUGGGAGCCAGGUGGGGCAGAUGCCAGAUUCUCCCUGUGCUCGUCCCUGUGCUGCUUGCUGAGUGACUAAGAGAACCUCUGGUUGCACUGGUGAAGCGAAAGCUCUUUAAUGCUCCAACAGACUGAGACUCCUAUGUCAGGAUCUCUGCAGAACCCAGGCACAGCCUGUGGCCAGCUCAUGUUACCCAGGUCUCAGGGGGCACUGAGCAAUGAAAUUCUAGCACCAAAA